rnacentral:sRNA from 1 species
GAAAGUCCGGUACUUCCAUGUAAGGGA